GACGUAGGGCGCGAGCGUUGUCCGGAUUUAUUGGGCGUAAAGAGCUCGUAGGCGGCUUGUCGCGUCGACUGUGAAAACUCACAGCUCAACUGUGGGCGUGCGGGCGAUACGGGCAGACUUGAGUACUGCAGGGGAGACUGGAAUUCCUGGUGUAGCGGUGGAAUGCGCAGAUAUCAGGAGGAACACCGGUGGCGAAGGCGGGUUCUCUGGGGCCGAUGUCUGACGCUGAGGAGCGAAAGCGGUGGGAGCAACAGG
rnacentral:rRNA from 1 species